ensembl:lncRNA
AGAGUUUAGAGAGGAUGAUGGGAUGUUAAGGGGAAGGAGAGGUUAGAGAGGAUGAGGGGAUGUUAAGAGUGAAGAGGAAGGAGAGGUUAGAGAGGAUGCGGGGAUGUUAAGGGGAAGGAGAGGUUAGAGAGGAUGAUGGGAUGUUAAGGGGAUUGAUAGAUUAGAGAGGAUGAUGGGAUGUUAAGGGGAAGGAGAGGUUAGAGAGGAUGAGGGGAUGUUAAGGGGAAGGAGAGGUUAGAGAGGAUGAGGGGAUGUUAAGGGGAAAUAGAUUAUGAGGGGAUGUUAAGAGUGAAGAGGAAGGAGAGG